rnacentral:rRNA from 1 species
UACGGGGGGGGCAAGCGGUUGUUCGGAAUUACUGGGUGUAAAGGGUUCGUAGGCGGUGUGGCAAGUCGGGAGUGAAAUCUCUGGGCUCAACCCAGAGUCUGCUUCCGAAACUGCUGUGCUUGAGUGUGGGAGAGGCGCGUGGAAUUGCAGGUGUAGCGGUGAAAUGCGUAGAUAUCUGCAGGAACACCCGUGGCGAAAGCGGCGCGCUGGACCACUACUGACGCUGAGGAACGAAAGCUAGGGGAGCAAACAGG